rnacentral:sRNA from 1 species
ACUCUGGUUCUGGCGUUCUGAUUCUUACGUAUUGUUGCCCUCCCGUUCUCCAGUGGCAGGACCUCCACCUGAAGGAGAACGUCCCUCCUUCCCUUUUGCUCCUGUCCCGCACCUUCUACCUGAUAGAUGUGAAGCCCAAGCCGAUUGAGAUACCACUCAGUGGGGAGGCUCCAAAGACUGAUAUUCUUGCGGAAUUACCUACUUUCACUGAAUCUAAAGAGAACAUGGUGGAUCUUGCACCUCAACUGAAGGGAACCAAGGAUGAAGACUUUAUACAGCCGCCACCAGUUACAUCAUCACCCAUAACACCAUCAACACCUAUUUCAUUACCUAAGGGACCCAUCACUUCUUCUAAAGAACCUACACUCCAGGCCAAAUCACAAAUGACGGCCCAGAACAGCAAGGCUAGUUCAAAAGGAGCAUAAGGACUACUUGAGGAUGGAGCUCACUCUCUUCAGCUUCCGGCCCUCAACAGUGGCAUCUGUAAAGGACCCAGAUAAGACUGUCUGGCUUCAGAGAGCGGAUCAGCCGUUUAGCCCGUGGGGCAGUCCUUUGAGGCCUGGUAACCAUUCCAGGUAAUGUGGGUAGUGAGACCAAGUUCAGACCACUGAGAAAAAUAUAAUUGCAAAGUCCCAUUUCCUCUGUA